GAUGAACGCUGGCGGCGUGCCUAAUACAUGCAAGUCGAGCGAACGGACGAGAAGCUUGCUUCUCUGAUGUUAGCGGCGGACGGGUGAGUAACACGUGGAUAACCUACCUAUAAGACUGGGAUAACUUCGGGGAACCGGAGCUAAUACCGGAUAAUAUUUUGAACCGCAUGGUUCAAAAGUGAAAGACGGUCUUGCUGUCACUUAUAGAUGGAUCCGCGCUGCAUUAGCUAGUUGGUAAGGUAACGGCUUACCAAGGCAACGAUGCAUAGCCGACCUGAGAGGGUGAUCGGCCACACUGGAACUGAGACACGGUCCAGACUCCUACGGGAGGCAGCAGUAGGGAAUCUUCCGCAAUGGGCGAAAGCCUGACGGAGCAACGCCGCGUGAGUGAUGAAGGUCUUCGGAUCGUAAAACUCUGUUAUUAGGGAAGAACAUAUGUGUAAGUAACUGUGCACAUCUUGACGGUACCUAAUCAGAAAGCCACGGCUAACUACGUGCCAGCAGCCGCGGUAAUACGUAGGUGGCAAGCGUUAUCCGGAAUUAUUGGGCGCAAAGCGCGCGUAGGCGGUUUUUUAAGUCUGAUGUGAAAGCCCACGGCUCAACCGUGGAGGGUCAUUGGAAACUGGAAAACUUGAGUGCAGAAGAGGAAAGUGGAAUUCCAUGUGUAGCGGUGAAAUGCGCAGAGAUAUGGAGGAACACCAGUGGCGAAGGCGACUUUCUGGUCUGUAACUGACGCUGAUGUGCGAAAGCGUGGGGAUCAAACAGGAUUAGAUACCCUGGUAGUCCACGCCGUAAACGAUGAGUGCUAAGUGUUAGGGGGUUUCCGCCCCUUAGUGCUGCAGCUAACGCAUUAAGCACUCCGCCUGGGGAGUACGACCGCAAGGUUGAAACUCAAAGGAAUUGACGGGGACCCGCACAAGCGGUGGAGCAUGUGGUUUAAUUCGAAGCAACGCGAAGAACCUUACCAAAUCUUGACAUCCUUUGACAACUCUAGAGAUAGAGCCUUCCCCUUCGGGGGACAAAGUGACAGGUGGUGCAUGGUUGUCGUCAGCUCGUGUCGUGAGAUGUUGGGUUAAGUCCCGCAACGAGCGCAACCCUUAAGCUUAGUUGCCAUCAUUAAGCUGGGCACUCUAAGUUGACUGCCGGUGACAAACCGGAGGAAGGUGGGGAUGACGUCAAAUCAUCAUGCCCCUUAUGAUUUGGGCUACACACGUGCUACAAUGGACAAUACAAAGGGCAGCGAAACCGCGAGGUCAAGCAAAUCCCAUAAAGUUGUUCUCAGUUCGGAUUGUAGUCUGCAACUCGACUACAUGAAGCUGGAAUCGCUAGUAAUCGUAGAUCAGCAUGCUACGGUGAAUACGUUCCCGGGUCU
rnacentral:rRNA from 1 species